GGAGGAAACAGAGGCAAAUGUUAAGGAUAUGGGUGAGGUGGUGGUAAUGGUUACACGUUCAGUUAUAAAGAAGAAAGGAAUAAGGGAAGAGAAAGAAAAAUAAUAUAAAUUCAAUUUCUUUAGUUAGGUGAUUUGUUUAAAGGAUGUAACUAAAUUAGUUAGAAGAGAAGAGAAAGUUAAGAAAAAGUGUCUCAGGAGUGAAAUGUGUCUUAGAGUGUAAUAUAAAAGAUGAAAUGUGACUUUAAGUGUAAAUGUUUCC
rnacentral:lncRNA from 1 species